GGAUAAAUGGUUACCACUUUCACGCAUAUGUGUUCAUGUCAGUUCGUUUUCUAGCAACGUCUUAAAGGAUUUGCAUCAUUAUGUGUUAGAUGAGUAUAACAUUGUUAAGGUUCUCUCAUCAAAUUUGCAUAUAACAAGAUUCGAAUUUGAGACUUUACGAAGAAACUACAUUGUAAAAAACAUCUGACCACAAAUCUAACAUAAUAGCCGGUCACUAAUCAACUUAGACUAUUGGGACUAGCCCAUUCCCACCAAAAAAAUUCGUGCGGAUCGCCCCGGGAACGCCCCACUUCGGCCCCGGGGGGCGUUCCGAAUGGUGAAAAAACGAGCCCCGUUGCAUUUUGAACGCGUCCAUUUAAUUGGAAUUUAGUGAGGUUUGACCUCGGGGACAUCAUCCAUCCGUCCACUUCCGAUUUCUUUUUUUUUUACUCAUUUCCUUUUCUAAAAUAUAUACAAAACACACACAACACAUAUAUAUUUUUACACCCUUUCUUCUCCAUCUCUCCCUCUAUUCUUCUUCAAAAAAUCAUACCUUUUUCAUCCAAAUCAACCGAAAAUGUUUCCCAAUCAGUGGGGUUUGAACCUUUUCUCCAAUCAAAACGCGGACAACAAUCAAAGAACACCCCUGCAACACAACUUCGAUGACCCGAAUCUUCACAAUAAUCCGGAUUUUAUUCAAUCACUUGGUACAAUGAACAUUGGAUCAUCGAUGACUCCCUCUGGACAUAGAACCCCGUGGAUUCGACAAGAUAACUUCGGUUUUGGACCUUCUCCGUCGGGUUUCGCUCAAACACCCGGCGCCAUGUUUGACUCACAACGGAUGGUUAAUACACCACCGGCAUCGAGCUCCUUUUAUGAAGAUGUGGAGGAGGUUCAGGAGACACAACCCGAAGUUAGUGUUUCGUCUCCGCAAAAAGAGAAAAGAAAACAUCGGAAGAAACAAACCGAGGCCCGAAGAAAAUCGCCUCUCAAGUAAACUGGUCGGAAGAGGAAAGUUUGGCGUUAUGUCGAUCUUGGGUCGAUGUAUCUGAGGACCCAAAAUGCGCAAAUUAUCAAAAGGUUCGGACCUUUUGGUUGAAGAUUCAAGAAGGAUAUCACAAAAUCUUGGAGAGACCGACUUACCGGGGUAUUGAAUCAUUACAGGGGAAGUGGCGGAAAAUUAGGACUAGUGUCACCAUGUUUAAUGGUAUUAUAACUAGGCUUAGUGGUUCGGGUUAUCAAAGUGGUAGUAGCCAAAAAGAUUUGAUUAGUAAUGUUGUUAGUGAAUACAAUGUUCAGUUUCCGAUUUUUAAGUUUUUGAAAGAAUGACAGUGUUUGAGGAGAAGUUCGAAGUGGGAGGUUAUUGAGAGUUGGGAGGCGAUGAGUAGUCCUGGUGAGCCGAGUUCAAAACGGUCGAAGACAACAUCAGAAAGUUCGGGUCAACAAAGUGUGGGGUCGUCUGCGAGGGUUGCAUUCGACCUUAAUGAUACUGAUGAGGGGGAACCGCAGCCAGAACUAUCUAGGUUAGGUCGUCCGGUUGGGAGGGAUACGACAAAAAAAUCCGACCGUGGGGGGGGGGGGGUUCACGGAAGGGGAAGACUGCGGCGUCGGUGGAUGUGGAGGCGUAUAACAUAGCAAUGGAGAUGCGGAGUUUACAAGAAGUUGGCAAGGCACGCCAAGAGAUCGAAUUGAAGAAGCUUGAACUUAAGUCGAAAAAACAACCAAGCAGAAAUAUGGACUUAUUGUUUAGGGACGUGUCUACUGUCCCGCCGGAAAAUCGACUAGCUUUGCUAGAGGAGCAGGCUAGAAUUCGUGCCGAGUAUGGAUUUCAGUAGUUUUAGUAUGUUUACUUUUCUCCUUUUCAUUCCUCCAUGUUUUAUUUAGUACUGUUAGUUUAAAUAUUAAGACGUUUUAUUUUUUAGUAAUUUUAGUAUGUAUUGUAUUAAGA